CCUACGGGAGGCAGCAGUAGGGAAUCUUCCACAAUGGACGAAAGUCUGAUGGAGCAACGCCGCGUGAGUGAAGAAGGGUUUCGGCUCGUAAAGCUCUGUUGGUAGUGAAGAAAGAUAGAGGUAGUAACUGGCCUUUAUUUGACGGUAAUUACUUAGAAAGUCACGGCUAACUACGUGCCAGCAGCCGCGGUAAUACGUAGGUGGCAAGCGUUGUCCGGAGUUAUUGGGCGUAAAGCGAGUGCAGGCGGUUCAAUAAGUCUGAUGUGAAAGCCUUGGGCUCAACCGGAGAAUUGCAUCAGAAACGGUUGGACUUGAGUGCAGAAGAGGAGAGUGGAACUCCAUGUGUAGCGGUGGAAUGCGUAGAUAUAUGGAAGAACACCAGUGGCGAAGGCGGCUCUCUGGUCUGCAACUGACGCUGAGGCUCGAAAGCAUGGGUAGCGAACAGGAUUAGAUACCCUAGUAGUC
rnacentral:rRNA from 1 species